rnacentral:rRNA from 1 species
GAUGAACGCUAGCGGCAGGCCUAACACAUGCAAGUCGAGGGGCAGCACAGAGACAGCAAUGUUUUGGUGGCGACCGGCGGACGGGUGCGUAACGCGUAUGCAACCUACCUUUAACAGGGGGAUAACGGAGAGAAAUUUCCACUAAUACCCCAUAACAUCGAUCAAGGCAUCUUGAUUGGUUUAAAACUCAGGUGGUUAAAGAUGGGCAUGAGUUUUAUUAGGUAGUUGGUGAGGUAAUGGCUAAACAAGCCUACGAUACAUAGGGGGACUGAGAGGUUAGCCCCCCACACGGGUACUGAGACACGGACCAGACUCCUACGGGAGGCAGCAGUGAGGAAUAUUGGUCAAUGGGGGUAACCCUGAACCAGCCAUGCCGCGUGCAGGAAGACGGCUCUAUGAGUUGUAAACUGCUUUUAAACAGGGAUAAAGCACAGUAUGUAUACUGUGUUGAAGGUACUGUAAGAAUAAGGAUCGGCUAACUCCGUGCCAGCAGCCGCCGUAA